rnacentral:rRNA from 1 species
UACGUAGGGGGCAAGCGUUGUCCGGAUUUAUUGGGCGUAAAGAGCGUGUAGGCGGCCAGACAGGUCCGUUGUGAAAACUCGAGGCUCAACCUCGAGACGCCGAUGGAAACCGUCUGGCUAGAGUCCGGAAGAGGAGAAUGGAAUACCUGGUGUAGCGGUGAAAUGCGCAGAUAUCAGGAAGAACACCCGUGGCGAAGGCGGGUUGCUGGGCUGACACUGACGCUGAUUGUGCGAAAGCUAGGGGAGCGAACGGG